rnacentral:rRNA from 1 species
UACGUAGGGUGCGAGCGUUGUCCGGAAUUACUGGGCGUAAAGAGCUCGUAGGUGGUUUGUCGCGUUGUUCGUGAAAACCGGGGGCUUAACCCUCGGCGUGCGGGCGAUACGGGCAGACUGGAGUACUGCAGGGGAGACUGGAAUUCCUGGUGUAGCGGUGGAAUGGCGCAGAUAUCAGGAGGAACACCGGUGGCGAAGGCAGGUCUCUGGGCCGAUACUGACGCUGAGGAGCGAAAGCGUGGGGAGCGAACAGG